UACGUAGGUGGCAAGCGUUGUUCGGAUUUACUGGGCGUAAAGAGCGCGCAGGCGGUCGUUCAAGUCGCGUGUGAAAGCCCCCGGCUCAACUGGGGAGGGUCACGCGAUACUGAUCGACUGGAAGGCAGGAGAGGGUAGUGGAAUUCCCGGUGUAGUGGUGAAAUGCGUAGAUAUCGGGAGGAACACCAGUGGCGAAGGCGACUACCUGGCCUGUUCUUGACGCUGAGGCGCGAAAGCUAGGGGAGCAAACGGG
rnacentral:rRNA from 1 species